UCAACUGUCACCAUGACUUUUUUCUACUUGCCUCCAUAUAGUCCGAAAACACUGUGCGACGGGUAACGAAUAAUAUGGCAUGAUGAACUGUAUGAGAUUGGAAAAUUUGUUUGUGUCUUCUUGGUUCAAAUCGUCUGUUCGCAUUUCAGGUGACGACAUAUUCAGUCAGUAAAUACAAUUCGAACCACUGUGCAAUAAGUCGCAAGCUUUGGGAGAACCACGUGUGGCAUAACAUUCAACAGAUACAAUAUAUAUAUGUGUGUAUGUACAUAUGUAUGUAUAUACCCAGUCGGCAAAAUGAGGAGCGUUUCUAAAUGAACGCCUUUUGGACGGGAUUUUUCAAUAAGACCUCUUUGGAAGGUUUAUUAGAAAAUCUUCCAUUAGCGUUGCCACACGAAGGUAGCCGAGAAGGUGGGUUUCCAUGGCAGCGAGUGUUAAAUAAGUAAUAAAAAAAACGCAGUAGAAGCAUCGGUGUAUGUCGUCCGCAAAGUAAAACUCAAAAGGAGUAAAGAAUCGAGCAUAGAAGGCCCAUCGCUUGAAAAGAUCCGAAAUAAGGUCUCCCAGAAGUUCUCUUAUUUUCUAAUUUUGCUGGCUGGUACUCAGUUCUUCAUUGUCGAGUCAGAGGUGAGGAAGUCAUCAUAUCAGCAAGUGUUCAGCUAGUACCUGCUCCUUAUUAGAAAUUUAGAAAAUUUUACUGAGCUGAGCAUAGUGAAAGUAGUAAAUAGAAAAUAAUAAAAGAAAAGAUGGCUUCCUCUGCACCAUCAGCGUCAGCACCUCCACCACCACCACCACCGCCGCCAUCAAGUGCCACUACAGCUGGCAAAGGACUUCCUAAUAAAAUUUACAAUGCUCUAGUUGGCUCAGUGGACAAACAUGUGCCUGAAAAGCUGCGUCCACUGUGGCAGCAUCC
rnacentral:misc_RNA from 1 species